rnacentral:tRNA from 1 species
GAUGCUGUGGCUCAGCAAGUUAAAGCCCUGGCCUGCAGUGCCAGCAUCCCAAAUGGGCAGGGGUUCGAGUCCCAGCUGCUUCA